rnacentral:rRNA from 1 species
AACUGAAGAGUUUGAUCAUGGCUCAGAUUGAACGCUGGCGGCAGGCUUAACACAUGCAAGUCGAGCGGGGGAAGGUAGCUUGCUACUGGACCUAGCGGCGGACGGGUGAGUAAUGCUUAGGAAUCUGCCUAUUAGUGGGGGACAACAUCUCGAAAGGGAUGCUAAUACCGCAUACGUCCUACGGGAGAAAGCAGGGGAUCUUCGGACCUUGCGCUAAUAGAUGAGCCUA